rnacentral:sRNA from 1 species
AGCUCGACCGGGUCGACGGCCCGGCUGGUGAGCAGGUAGUCGCGCAUGGCGAUCGCGUGCCUGCCCUC